rnacentral:rRNA from 1 species
GACGAACGCUGGCGGCGUGCUUAACACAUGCAAGUCGAACGGGAUUUAGUAGACAGAAGCCUCGGCUAAAGAUUACUAAUGCGAGUGGCGAACGGGUGAGUAACGCGUGAGCAACCUGCCUAUGACAGUGGGAUAGCCUCGGGAAACCGGGAUUAAUACCGCAUAAAAUCGUCGAAACACAUGUUUUAACGGUCAAAGAUUUAUCGGUCAUAGAUGGGCUCGCGUCUGAUUAGCUAGUUGGUGAGAUAACAGCCCACCAAGGCGACGAUCAGUAGCCGGUCUGAGAGGAUGAACGGCCACAUUGGAACUGAGACACGGUCCAAACUCCUACGGGAGGCAGCAGUGGGGAAUAUUGCACAAUGGGGGAAACCCUGAUGCAGCGACGCCGCGUGAACGAAGAAGGUAUUCGUAUCGUAAAGUUCUGUCCUAUGGGAAGAUAAUGACAGUACCAUAGAAGAAAGCUCCGGCUAAAUACGUG